UAAUCUUUGUAAUCCUGUU
rnacentral:miRNA from 1 species